rnacentral:rRNA from 1 species
UACGUAGGGUGCAAGCGUUGUCCGGAAUUAUUGGGCGUAAAGAGCUCGUAGGCGGUCUGUCGCGUCUGCUGUGAAAACUCAGGGCUUAACCCUGAGCUUGCAGUGGGUACGGGCAGACUAGAGUGCGGUAGGGGAGACUGGAAUUCCUGGUGUAGCGGUGAAAUGCGCAGAUAUCAGGAGGAACACCGGUGGCGAAGGCGGCAUCCUGGACCAUUACUGACACUGAAAAGCGAAAGCCAGGGGAGCAAACGGG